GGGGGCGACUUGGCUUCGACGCCGGUUGCGAAACCUGAAGUGCAUGUCGAGAGGGUAGUGACUCUCGUAAAUCAAUCGCUGUAACUUCUUAUAGUUGCCAAUGACGAAAACUACGCACUAGCUGCCUAAAAACUCUUUUUAAGAACUUUUUAGAUUAGCUUGACCCGGGGCGAAUGUGCCCAUGUAUUCAAACCGGGUGCGCGACUCAUGGGACCGCUGCCAGACCCCGCUUGUGGUUAAAGCAGUUAAACUUAAAGCAAGCUCGCCUUUCAAUCCCUGUUUGUCGGGCCAGUGGAAGGUUAAACAGUAGACAAAAUAAGCAUGUAGACCUGAAGGCAGAGAACUGACGGACGCGGGUUCGAUUCCCGCCGCCUCCACCA
rnacentral:tmRNA from 1 species